UACAGAGGUCUCAAGCGUUGUUCGGAUUCAUUGGGCGUAAAGGGUGCGUAGGCGGCGCGGUAAGUCGGGUGUGAAAACUCCAGGCUCAACCUGGAGACGCCACCCGAGACUGCCAUGGCUAGAGUCCGGUAGGGGACCACGGAAUUCCUGGUGUAGCGGUGAAAUGCGCAGAUAUCAGGAAGAACACCCGUGGCGAAGGCGGCUCUCUGGGACGGUACUGACGCUGAGACGCGAAAGCGUGGGGAGCGAACAGG
rnacentral:rRNA from 1 species